AAUGAACGCUGGCGGCAGGCCUAACACAUGCAAGUCGAACGGAUCCUUCGGGAUUAGUGGCGGACGGGUGAGUAACACGUGGGAACGUGCCCUUUGGUUCGGAACAACUCAGGGAAACUUGAGCUAAUACCGGAUGUGCCCCUCGGGGGAAAAAUUUAUCGCCAUUGGAGCGGCCCGCGUCUGAUUAGCUAGUUGGUGAGGUAAAGGCUCACCAAGGCGACGAUCAGUAGCUGGUCUGAGAGGAUGAUCAGCCACAUUGGGACUGAGACACGGCCCAAACUCCUACGGGAGGCAGCAGUGGGGAAUCUUGCGCAAUGGGCGAAAGCCUGACGCAGCCAUGCCGCGUGAAUGAUGAAGGUCUUAGGAUUGUAAAAUUCUUUCACCGGGGACGAUAAUGACGGUACCCGGAGAAGAAGCCCCGGCUAACUUCGUGCCAGCCGCCGCGGUAAGAC
rnacentral:rRNA from 1 species